CUUAAGUACAUCACAAAUGAAUCUCUAGAAAGAUUCACAUGCAUAUAAUGUAUUUGGUUCCAUUUCUCAUUAGGUUCUUCUACUGGUUUACCAAACUGCAUGGGGAAAUUGAGACCUAAAAAGGUGAAAUGAUUGCCCAUAGGUAAAACAGAUUUUUGUUAGAAAAAGAUUAGAAUCCAGGUCCUGUAUAGGAUUCUUUUGCUCCCCUCCUCCAAAUGCUUUGUCUAUUGCUGUACACAAAGAGCCCUAAAAUGCCUUAUGAUGAAGUCCAAUCACAACCAUGUCAAUGGAUGCUUGGCAAGUAUCCCAUUCUUCCCAACUCUCUGCCCAUUCUUCUGAAUGACAAUAGCUACCAUACUGCAGAAAACUGAUUGAAUUCUGACUUAGACUAAUUCAGUUUAAGUCACGGUGCAUUUCUCCCAACAGUAUAUAGCCUACCGGCUCUUGUUAUUGGUGCUACCUUUCCUUAUGAUCACACAAAUCUCCUUGGAAAGGUCUCUGGGAGAAGGUAUUGCUGUCUUAUUUUAUGAAAGUACAAAAUAUUUGUACAGAGGUUAUGGAUUUACUUAUUUUUUUCUAUUAAGUAACAGCUAUAGGAUCAUAAAAUGUUAGAGCUAGAGAUGGUCUUCAGGGUCAUCCAGCACAACUCCUCGCUUUAAAGAUGAAUAUGCUGAAACCUGGAGAGGAUAAAGAAUUUUCUCAGUGCCAUGAAGCUGAACGGUGGCCAUCAGUCCAUCGCUCUCUCUGCAAUACCACACAAUCAUACAUAAUAUUGCAUUCAGGAAUGGAAGAUGAGAAAAUAAUGCAAUAGUUUGAAUUUCUUUAAAACAUGUGGAAGGAUUUAGGGGAAAUUACAUAGUGAAUUUUAUAUAAUUGAAAACUUUCUCUGCUGAAAACAAAUAAAUACUAACACCAUCUUCCCAACUAAAAAAAACAAAAAACAAAAAAAAACACACCAAAAAAAUUAUACAACUGAUCCCUCCACAAAUGACAAGCCAUGUGACUGGUACAAAGAGGGGGUGAGAUUCCACGAUCUCUACUACUCCUUUAAAUCCAUGAUUCUGAUUUUGAGGUAGCUAUUAAUUUUCAAUUGUCAAUGAAGGAAUUAUUAGAAGUGACAGAAAGGGAGGAUGCUGAUAAGCCUCCAGAGCAGGGCGACAUGGAUGGUGAAGGGGCCUGCAAUCUGGACCGUAGGGAGCCUGAUUCAGAGAACUGAAGAUGUUCAGCUGGGAGACUUGGGGGAGACCUGCUAGACUUUUCAAAGUAUUUGAAAGACCAUCGAAUGGAAAUGAAAAUAGACUUGUUUUGUUUAGUCUUGGCAGAGACUUGGUGGAGAACUUGAAGGAGAAGCUGGAAAUGGCAAAAAAUUAGUUCUAUGUGUGAUAAAAGAAGAAAAUGAUAAAAACAAGCCAUCCAAAAAAGUGGAAUGGGCUGCAUUAAAGAGGCUGAUAAUAAUAACUAACACUCAUUUACUGUUUACUCUGUGCCCAGUUCUGUGCUAAAUGCUUUACAAGUAUCUCAUUCAAUCCUUAUGAUAACCCUGGGAGGGAAGGGUGAUUGUUAACUCUAUUUAACAUGAGGAAACUGAGGUAAAAAGUUUAGUAUUUUGCCCGAGUCAUACAGUUAAUAAGUGGGCAGGGCUGGAUUUGAACUCAGGUGUUCUCUGAGAUAUCCUACCCACUGCAUUGCCUGUCUGCCUGGCAAGUUAAUGGCGUUUUCCUCACUGUUUUUCAAAGCAAAAUCUGGAUGAUGAUUUGUUGACUAUGCUGUAGGGGGAUUCUUGUUGCAUUGUGGGUUGAACUAGAUGGUCUCUGCGGUCCUUGCUCCAAUUUUCUGUGACCCUGGGAAGCCUCCUCUCCAGUUGGGAUCCAAUCUGCCCAGGGCCCUGGCAACGGAGGCUACCCCUGUAAGGAGCAAAGCUGGCCAAAGGAAGGGGAAAGAUGAGAAGUUUGUCUCCCU
rnacentral:lncRNA from 1 species